UAAUGUCAAGUUGUCUUAAUAAGGACACUCCAAAGAAAUGUAAUGUCAAGUUGUCAUGACGAAGACAUCUUCUGGUAAUGUCAUCCUGGUUAAUGUCAAGUUGUCAUUACAACGACAUCCCAAACUAAUUUAAUGUCAAUUUGUCAUGACGAAGACAUCUUCUGGUAAUGUCAUCCUGGUUAAUGUCAAGUUGUCAUUACAACGACAUCCCAAACUAAUUUAAUGUCAAUGUGUCA